rnacentral:rRNA from 1 species
AUCGGGGUAAAGACGUAACAAGGUAGCCGUAUCGGAAGGUGCGGCUGGAUCACCUCCUUU